UCAACUGCUAUUGACAUUUUUUAAUCGGGUCAAAUGUGGAGUGAAGAAAAACGUUUGCAACACAUCCAUUCCAGAGUGCUCUGACAGAUAAAACUGACACGCUUGAUGAGGACACAGUCAAGCUUUAAAAGACCGUGUGAUAAAGCAGUCUUCAAUUACUACGGUGUCUGAAUUGCAAGAAGAAGUCACCCUCCACUUAAACAUGUGACAUCUAAACUGUUUUGUGUUUUAGUUCAGCUUUUUAUAGGUUUAUCUUAAGUUGGUUAAAGGCGGA